rnacentral:lncRNA from 1 species
GGUGAAUAAAAUUUUCCCUCGGCUUUCUAAGAAACCGGGCUGAUAAAUUUCUAGAAACCUAGCUGCAGAAAUUGUGGCUCAGAGCCAUCCGUGUAGGAUGGAGCUGCCCAUGACAGAAGUUGUUUAGGCAAAACAUUCAACUUGGGUCUCCCCAUCACAAACCACUUGUAGCCAGAGGAAAGGAAAGGAGCCCACAUGACUUGAAAUCUCCUCUGGUUAAAUAUCAUAUGGGGCUACUUAGUAUUUCACUGGGGAUUGCAUUAGUUGCAUAUUAAAUAUCAAAGUCCUGUUGGGUAAUUCCCUAACUCCAUAAAUAUAGGUGCCCUUCAGGCUCCUGGAAAUCUUCACUCAGUCAGCCUCAGGUUUGUAGGAACUGAACACAAUUGAGCCAAAGCAACUUGAGUGUGGCCUAGCCUGCUCUUGUCUCACUUGCCCUGGUCUCUCCUGAGCUGGCCUUCCCUCAUCACUCCUAUAAUUCCCAGAUUCCAGCCAUCCAGUCACCAUGAGGAUCCUCUUCCUGAUGUUUAUGAUGCUGUUUGUGAUCUUCUCCUAUUCUGGCUCAGGUUUCACCCAACUGGUGACCAUGAGGAUCCUUUAUCUGAUGUUUGUGGUGGUCUUUGUGAUCUUCUCCUCUGCUGGCAAAAUGAAUGACAUGGUAAAAGAUUCCAAAUCAUGUUGGAAGGCUGAGGCCAUAUGUACAGUGCACAGGUGUAUGCCUCCCAAUAUUUUUAAAGGACACUGCUCUCGUUCGGCACUCUUCUGUUGUUUGUUGGCUGAUACAUUUCGUUAAAGAAAAUAUAAACAAAAAAUCCUGCUGUGAGGAAGCUUUGGGGUAUGGAAGAGUAAGACGAUAGAAGAUGGGAGAAUUUGAAAUGCAUGGAAUAUUUGUUUUAAUUUUAAAUAAAG